UUCCAGACUCCUACGGGAGGCAGCAGUGAGGAAUAUUGGUCAAUGGCCGUAAGGCUGAACCAGCCAAGUCGCGUGAGGGAAGACGGCCCUACGGGUUGUAAACCUCUUUUGUCAGGGAGCAAGGGGCAGGUCGUGACCUGCUGUGAGAGUACCUGAAGAAAAAGCAUCGGCUAACUCCGUGCCAGCAGCCGCGGUAAUACGGAGGAUGCGAGCGUUAUCCGGAUUUAUUGGGUUUAAAGGGUGCGCAGGCGGAGGCACAAGUCAGCGGUAAAAUCGCGGGGCUCAACCCCGGUCCGCCGUUGAAACUGUGUCCCUUGAGUGCGCGAAGGGUAGGCGGAAUGCGUGGUGUAGCGGUGAAAUGCAUAGAUAUCACGCAGAACUCCGAUUGCGAAGGCAGCAUACCGGCGCCCAACUGACGCUGAAGCACGAAAGCGUGGGUAUCGAACAGGAUUAGAUACCCGAGUAA
rnacentral:rRNA from 1 species